ensembl:lncRNA
GGUGUUAUCUAAAACCUGCAGGACACCGGCCCUCAAGGCCUCGAGACACCCCUGCUCUAAACUAUUCUGAGAUGCUUACAGGUGGCUGUGACAUUUGCAGUAGGGUCAGAGGUCGGCCUUCAGAGCAGCAGUGACUUCAGUCAGAUGGGAAAACCUUUCCUAAUGGGCACAGUGGCUCUGGGUGGGAUUGUAAACGUGAUGCCUCUGCUUUUCUCACAGAUCUCACACAACAGAACACAGAUCCUGUGGUUUCGGAGAGCAGUGAUUGGAGGUCUGACAACCUGCACUGUGCUCAACAUCCUCUGGUGCUGGGCAGUGCUGGAAAUUGUCCCGCAGACAUCAUUCCCAGAGAGGAGGAUGACACCUGAAACAGCAACCAGGCCUGACUACAGCAGCCCCUCUGGUCCUCCAUCCUCAGUCUCCUCACAGAAAUACUCGAACAUCUCACUAGAAGAGUGAGUCUGUACUUAAAGUGCUUACCUCUCCUGUUCUGUCUUUCAUCACAAGAAACCAACCACUGCAAUCUUUAGCCACAAGUCUGACACUUAUGGUUGUAUCCUUUGAAUAAGUAUGUGCUAAUAUGUAAAGCAGGGUUUCAAAUCCGUCCUAAGCAGCUGUUUGGAAGUUUCUUUAUCAAGAAAAAACUCACUGUUAUUUGCAUGUUCAUGUGUAAACCUGUUGCUCGAGUUUUGCAAAAUUCGUCUGCUCACUGCAGAACCACUAGAUCGCUUGUUUCAAAAACAGGCCGAUUGUUUAGUAUUCACUUUAGAAACAGCAGGUGUUGGACACUCAGUCGAGGUUCAGUUUGCUGGAGUGUUGUUUCUUUAGUGGGUGUCGUUCUCGCUGUCAUGAAAUCUCUUUUUUGUCUGUUGGAUACUGGAAUGAAACAAAGAGACAAAUUUUCUAUAAAAAUCCAAAGGAAGUGAUGUCCAUGCUUGUGCCUUGCCUCAGUGCAUCUUUAAUUUCCAUCUUGCUAAUAAUAAAUAGAAAAAGGGCUCUCAUCAGGAUGCAAGGAACGCUCAGAUUUCCCACUCAUGUUGGCUUGAAUAUUGAUGGUUGAUUCAUAGACCUUGAGAAACAAUAGCUGAGAAAGAGUUAAGAGUAGUUAAAAUAGAUAUGAACAGGGGUUAAAGUGGGCCAUGGGAUGGUUUUGUUCUCACCUUCACUUAAUAAGCAGUUAUAACGAUGUGUGAUAACUGUGCUGUCAGAAAGACAGGAUAGCAGAAGAAGAUGAGAGAUUACGUUCAAAGGUAGCAAGUGACAUCCGAUCAGCUGGUAAUUUAAAGCUUACCUAUGUAACGUCCGAAUUUAUGUUGGAUUUUUUUUAGAGUGUGGAUCUGGACAGGUGUUGCUGAAGUUAAUUCAAACUGAGAAGUGAUUUUGAAGGUUAUACUUACAGCAGGUGCAGGCUUAACUGGGUAGUUUGCAGUGCUGUGGUACAGCUCAUAGUGAUGAACUGCACUCCAGCCACAGUUCAAAUGCUUGUUAAUGAGCUAAUAACAUGGCAGAAACCUAAUGCAUUUAGAAUACCAGCAGAAGACCACACUUGGUGGCACUCUAUCAGCUGAGAACGGGAAACCGAGGUUGCAGUUCACACACGCUCACCAUAAUUGGACAACAGAAGGUUGGAAAAAUGGUGUCUGGUCUGAUGAGUCUUGAUUUUGCUUCAGCAUUCAGAUGGAGGGGCCAGAAUUUGGUGUAAACAACAUGAAAUCAUGGAUCCAUCCUGGCUUGUAUCAACAGCUCAGGCUGGUGGUGGUGGUGGAUAUUUCCUAUGUAAUGCUAAUACUAACCGAGCAACGUGUAAACACAACAGUCAGAUUAUUGUUGCUUAUCAUGUCCAUCCCUUUGUGACCACAGUGUUUUUCACCAGCAAAGAUGAAGGUGAAGUGGAACUUUGAAGGAAAGACACUUUUAACGGAACAUCUGUCUGUAUAAUUGUAGAAUAUUGGUGGCUAAAGCAACAUAGAGUAGCAAACCUCAAAACCAGCACUGGUCAGGUGGUCAUAGUCUUCACAUAAGGAAGGCAAAUGUACCGGAGCUCACAAUAAUGAUUAUUCGAGUCAGUUAACCUUGAGGCAUUGCUACUCUGAAGUUCUGGUCCCCACCUCCCAAAUCCCACUCUAAUCCCGGCAUAUGAAGCACUGAGAGACAGACUCAGUGGAGAGUAUGUAAAUCUGGAUAUUGAAGGGCAUAAAUGCCACACCUUGAAAGGAGAGAACCAGGGGAUAGCAGAUAUUCCAGAUUAAAUGUCCUGGGUUAUCUGUAGUAGAAUAACAGUGUCAAAUAGCAGUCAUAUCAGGUCAGCCUUUAAAUAAUUUGGCAGGUAUGAAGCUCUUUUUAUGCCAUUACAUUAUCCACACCCAUUCUGAGAUCAUCAAAAAAUGGCACCAGAUUUCCAUUUCUGAUACUAAGUUGGCUUUUUGUCAUCAGCAUUGUACAGUAUGCCAUUUCGUUGAUGGCCAAGUUUGACAGUGAUGAUACAUCAGCAGAGAAUUGUGUGAAUAUGUGCAAUUAGCAGCUCUUGUACUGAAUAUGUAAUUAUUUCAAAGCAUCUUUGAAUUGUAAUCGCUCCCUGGCUCAG